UACAGAGGUCUCAAGCGUUGUUCGGAUUUAUUGGGCGUAAAGGGUGUGUAGGUGGCGCGCUAAGUCGGGUGUGAAAUUUCGGAGCUUAACUCCGAAACUGCAUUCGAUACUGGCGUGCUUGAGGACUGGAGAGGAGACUGGAAUUUACGGUGUAGCAGUGAAAUGCGUAGAUAUCGUAAGGAAGACCAGUGGCGAAGGCGGGUCUCUGGACAGUUCCUGACACUGAGACACGAAGGCCAGGGGAGCAAACGGG
rnacentral:rRNA from 1 species